UUGAACGCUGGCGGCAGGCCUAACACAUGCAAGUCGAACGGUAACAGAAAGCAGCUUGCUGCUUUGCUGACGAGUGGCGGACGGGUGAGUAAUGUCUGGGAAACUGCCUGAUGGAGGGGGAUAACUACUGGAAACGGUAGCUAAUACCGCAUAACGUCGCAAGACCAAAGAGGGGGACCUUCGGGCCUCUUGCCAUCGGAUGUGCCCAGAUGGGAUUAGCUAGUAGGUGGGGUAACCGCUCACCUAGGCGACGAUCCCUAGCUGGUCUGAGAGGAUGACCCGCCCACCAGGAAACUGGACACGGUCCAGACCCCCAAGGGGGGGCACAGGGGGGAAAUUUACCAAAGGGGGGAAAAGCUUGAGGCACCCAGGCCGGUUAUAUGAAGAAGGCCUUGGGGUUGUAAAGUACUUUCAGGGGGGAGGAAGGGAGUAAAGUUAAACCCUUUGCUCUUGGACUUUCCCCGGAAAAAAGGCCCCGGCAAACCCCGU
rnacentral:rRNA from 1 species